rnacentral:lncRNA from 1 species
AGAUAACAGUCACAGCCUGUUGAAGCUGCCUUGAAAUCCUGCUGAAAGGGCAGCUCUGGCUCCCUUGGCUUGUUUCUCUGUGCCUGUUUGUUGUCUUGUGUUUGUACCAGCCCUGCCACAUCCAGAAGUUAUUCUGAAAUGAAAAGGGCCAAGGAGGCCCCUGCAGUCUGGAGGACAAGGACCAGUGUGGAUUAAAUGGUCCUGCUUACAGGAGAAAUGCCACCUCCAUUUCUUCAGGUAGCAGCAAGAUAAUUCUCUCACAUCCACCCUUUGGACUCUGAUUCAUGAGCUCUAUGCAUUCAUGAUGGGCUGAUAAAAGAGAUUAACAGCAUGAUGGGCUGCCACACCUGUCUGUCUGUCUGUUAUUGCCCUGCAACAGAGAAGUGAAAAGGCAGAGUGUCAGCU